rnacentral:rRNA from 1 species
UACGGAGGAUCCAGGCGUUAUCCGGAUUUAUUGGGUUUAAAGGGUGCGUAGGUGGUUUUUUAAGUCAGGGGUGAAAGACGGCAGCUUAACUGUCGCAGUGCCUUUGAUACUGAAGAACUUGAAUUAACUAGAGGUAGGCGGAAUGUGACAAGUAGCGGUGAAAUGCAUAGAUAUGUCACAGAACACCAAUUGCGAAGGCAGCUUACUAUGUAAUGAUUGACACUGAGGCACGAAAGCGUGGGGAUCAAACAGG